rnacentral:rRNA from 1 species
GACGAACGCUGGCGGCGUGCCUAAUACAUGCAAGUAGAACGCUGAAGAGAGGAGCUUGCUCUUCUUGGAUGAGUUGCGAACGGGUGAGUAACGCGUAGGUAACCUGUCUUGUAGCGGGGGAUAACUAUUGGAAACGAUAGCUAAUACCGCAUAACAAUGGAUGACACAUGUCAUUUAUUUGAAAGGGGCAAUUGCUCCACUACAAGAUGGACCUGCGUUGUAUUAGCUAGUAGGUGAGGUAACGGCUCACCUAGGCGACGAUACAUAGCCGACCUGAGAGGGUGAUCGGCCACACUGGGACUGAGACACGGCCCAGACUCCUACGGGAGGCAGCAGUAGGGAAUCUUCGGCAAUGGGGGCAACCCUGACCGAGCAACGCCGCGUGAGUGAAGAAGGUUUUCGGAUCGUAAAGCUCUGUUGUAAGUCAAGAACGAGUGUGAGAGUGGAAAGUUCACACUGUGACGGUAGCUUACCAGAAAGGGACGGCUAACUACGUG